GCCGAAAAAAAGUACAGAAGAAGAGGUGUCGACAACCGCGAAAAGUAACAGUUGGUUACACAAAGCCAACCUCUGAGAGUCUCCAAAAAUCAACUCUGAAUUCAAGAGAAUCACGACCAAGCCACGACAAUCAAAAUUCCUGUCUCAGCUGGACCUCCACUCUGGCACCCUGAUGAAGCUGUUCCAAAAGCGAGGAGGACAGCUUGGGUCACUUGGCUGGAAACAAUAAUUUUGCAAAUGGCUAAUUGUGAUGAUGUAGAUGCCGGACGCGAGUCUAUCAUCAAGGGACUAUGCAUCUCCAUGGGGGAAGAUCCAAAAGACCUUGUGCGAGAAUAUGUGGACACAGAUGAAGGCGCCAUCAAGGACACAACUGUGGGGAUUUAUGUUCUUAAAGAUGCUUCCACUGAUGAACCGGAGGACAUCGGGAUCGUUCUAGAAGGCGUCUCCAGACAAAUCUGGAUAAUGUAGCAUUAGCUUUUGUAAUGCUGUUCGGACUAAUGUACGCGCUGAAUAUCAGCUACCCUGCUGACCUCCGCUACACCUUUGAAGUAGUCCAAAGCCUUAUAAUGGACUGCGGUAAGCUCUCAAACAAAGCAACUGCUCUGAAAAACAGGCUCCUUCAGUGAAACGGUUCAGAGACUGCUGCAUGCAAGGAACCCCAAACAAUUGAAUCUGUUCUUUUUUCUCUGUUAUGUUUUAGGAUUUGUUGUUACUUCGUUACAACUUGUGUUUUUAACCUGAGACCAUUUUAAAGACCAUUGCUGUCUUUAGUGUUUGAGACUCUAUUAUAAGAAACCUGUCAAUCCUGCAUGUGCAACUGUUCAGCCUGUUCACUCUUAUUGUUCCUUCAUAUAUUUCUUCUAGACUGAUGCCACCACAGGUCAUUUUAUGUCACAGAUGUUCAGGUUAAAGCAUAGUUCCAUGCUUUAAUUAUUCAAUGUUCCAUGCUGCAGUGUUUUUCUAUAUUGCCUGUGCUGUAGCACCUCUUUUAAUUUUUGGAAAAUAUAUAUAUUUUAUAAAUUCUAUUGUUACUGUGAAAAGGGUAAAACCCAUAGACUGUAUAUAUAAAUGGACGUAGGGUCCGUGACGUCACCCAU